GCAAGCUUGAGAUGCUAGGAAUUCAGCUGUGGAAGUUCAGCUCUCAAGAAGCUCACAUCUAGGGUGCGGAGUUAGAGAAAUCAGACCGGCACAUGAUACAGAAGGGACUAGGUGCUAUGGAGAGACGUGAGCUGGGGAGGGGAUAGCCUGUGUUGGGGUGGAGGCUGCUGCUUUAGAGAGAUGAGGGAAGGCCACUGGAAUCUGAUGCUGAGCAGAGAUCAGGGAUUUUAUAUAAGGGAAGUGAGGGAGUGAGUCGUGGCCACCUGAGGAGAGCAUUCCAGGAUAAGGAAACAGCAGGUGCAAAGGCACUGCUGCAGGGAGGUGCUUGGUAUAUCCAGGGAGUGUGGAGAAGUCCCGUGUGGUGGCUGCAGAGGGAGCAGGGGGAGGAUGGUGGGAGGUGAGAAUGGAGACCUCUGAGGUAGGUCCUCGAGAGCCUUAGAGGCCACGCGAAUUGCAUGGGACCCACUGGAGGGAGCCAUUCCCAGAGCCAUGACAGGUUGGGACCUGCCUGCAAAGGACCACAUUCUGGCCGUGGGGAAGGGCAGAAGCAGGAGACCAAUUUGGAGGCUGGGACCUGGGGCCUGGGGCCUAGGACAGGCAUGGUGAGCAGUGGUCAGUUUCUGAAUCCAUUCUCAGGGUAGACACAAUAGGACUGGUGAUUGAUUGAAUAUGAGAUGUGAGACAAAGACAAAUGCCAAGGACGGCUCCAAGGGUUUUUCCUGAACAGCUGCCAGGAUGAAGUUGGCAUUUAUUUAGGUGGAGGAAGAAAGGAAGGAGCAGGUUUGGGAGCUGGAGAUAGAGAUUCGUUUUUGAAAGUGUUAAUUUGAGAUGUUCAAUUAGACACAGAGUGGAGAUGCCAAAUAGACAAUUAUACAGGAGUCUGGUGCUGAGUGUUGAGGUCUGGGAUGGAGACAUCACCCUGAGGGUCCUUGGCAUUUAAAUGCUGUUUAAAACCAGGAGGCUAGAUGAGCUCACCAAGGGAGAGGGAAGGGAUAGAAGAGGGAGAGGGUCUGAGGACUCAGCCCUGGAGCAUAGAUAAUUAACAGGCAGAUGGGGAGAAACUGGGAGAGGGGACUGAGAAGGAACAGCAGGCAAGAGAAAGAGGGCUAAGGGAGAGCCAUGACCUACAAUCAGGUCAAGAAGCAUUUCUACAGGAGAGAUUUAUGCUGCCGAUCUUCCAAUAGAUCAAGUAGCGUGGAGACCACUGAGACCCAGCCACUGGAGACCAUUAGCCUAGGGAGGUCAUUGGUGUCCUUGCCAAGCCCUGUUUUGGUUCUGGGUCCAGGAGACAGAGUGUAGUCAGAGGAGAGGAAUCACAGACAGCCCAGUGCAGACAACAGGCAACUCUUUCAAGGAGUCAUCUUAUAAAGCAACUAGAACAGUACCUGGCAGACACAAGACACGUAAUACAUAUUUUUGAAUGAGGAACUUGGCUCCAGAAGCCAUGAGAAUAACUUUGUUCCAACACAUUCAGGCUGCGGUCAGAAAGGGUGAGCUGGAAGCAGUGAGCUGGGAGAUAAUGAAACCAAAACACCAUUAUCAGGAAGCUUGAGAACAAGGCCACCUUUUAAGUAUCUAGAAAUUCCCAUUAAUUUCUUCCACACCUUGUUCCCCAUCCCACCUGAAGACUGAAGCUGAGAGGCUUUUUUCCCAGUCAUCUUGACCACAAGAUCAGUUCUCUCCGUGAACAUAAAGACAAAAUCGCUGUGACACCAACAGACAGAUUUUUUAACAAGUGGAAUCCAUGUCUCAUGUAAACAAUGUGCUACUGCCUGCCAUUGAGUUCUCUUCCCUCGUUUUCCUUUUUGAAGACUUAACCCCUUUCCCAAAGGGACAUGUGCUCAGGUUUCUUGACUCCACAGCAAUCCCUUCUGUUGUGUAAGGCAAACUGAUCACCUUUCACAACGAGACAAGAAGUGAUUUAAAUCAGAUGGUGACCCAAUGACAAUGUCUGUGCUGUGUCCUAUGGAGAAAACCAAAGCUGAAAUCCAGUAACAGGUGAUAGGAAGAUGUGGAGAUAGAAACUGACCUGAAUUCUGAAAAACAACAAGAGAAAAGGAAGUCUGAGAACAAGCUGGUGUUCUUCCAAAACCUGUUCAUUGUGUGAAUUCCUAGAAGAUAGCGUGACACCGAGAAACAGGCUGGAGUGACACACCCAAACAAUUAUGCUACCUGGAUCUGCCAAGGCAGGAGGACAAACUCAGCAGCCUGGAGAAUGGAGGACACAGUCCAGAGUUGCAACAACAGCAGCAAUUACUUUUGACCACUCACUAUCGGAAAACACUGCUUUAGGCUGUGGAAAUGCAGUAGUAGAAAAGCCAGGCAUAAUCCUUAUCCCCAUGGAGGCACUAUCUCCAUCCAAGGGCAGAGGACCUGCAAGCCCUGAGGUCUCCAGCUGAGGUUCCUCUCUGAAGGACAGUUGCACUUCAGGUCAUGCUGCAGUAUGAGAGAAGGCAGCGUGACAUCUUGAGUUUCUAAUGCUCACACCUGUCUCAGUGAAGCAUUUUUACAGAGUAAUCACCACCCCCCUCACACCCCCAACAAUGUCAUCAAGUCAUAAAUCUCCUUGGUUUGAAAUAUUGGAUUAAAAUAUGAUUAAACAAUAUGUCUCAAUGGAAAGUUAAGAUAUGUGUGCAUUCUCUAUCCUCAAACAAUCCUGGAAUGCCCCCCCCCCCACUUUAUGAUUUUUUAUGAUUUGCCUAUCAGAAAUCUAUGCUAAAACUCUUAAAGAGUUUAGUUCUUAGAUUUGUAAGAGUAAGAGCAUGUAAGAAAUUAUUCUUUGACAGUUCUCAUUGCUAGCAACAAAGUUUUUAGGUUCCAAAGAGGUAUUUACUUAGAAACUAAAUAGUGUGAACCAUUAGCGCAGAAGAUGGUGCAGUAGAACAAAUGGGGAUGAGGUAUGAGGAGAGCCAAAUGCUAAUCCUGGUGUGUCACUGAUGUGACUUGGACACUGCCACCCCUCUGGACCUCUGCUUCCUCUUAGGGAAGAAGUGCUCUGUGGGGGUUCUCUGAGGUUACUCCUACAGUUCAUGUUCUAUGAGCCUGGAAAGAGCAAAAAUGUCUCAUAUAUACUACGUAAUGUUGUCUAAGUGGUACAUAGCAGAU
rnacentral:lncRNA from 10 species